UCGUCUCUCUGUUUUGUCGAGUCCAAGUCCUGUAUGUAUAACUGACCAUGCUUUUUUAGACAGGGCACGGCCACGUUUGCUGAGAUGUUGGCUCUUCACUCCUCAGUGUCCCUGUGUCGGAUCACAUGACCUCCUCAUGCUGCA